AUCUAUUUGGAGACAUCUAAUAAAAUUAGAACGAUAGAGAGAAGAUUAGUAUGACUGUGCGCAAGGAUGACACGCACAAAUAGAAAAAAUAUCCUCCAUAA
rnacentral:snRNA from 1 species